AAAUGCUUCCAUAGGGCAAUGUAUUCUCCCCUAAAAGCAUGCAGUGCUGUAGAGGAAGCAAAGUCAACAGUCUCCAGCAAUACCCAGAUUAUUCCGUGCUUCAAUCCAUGUCGCAACCAGGACGUUUCUUGAAUACAACUCAUUGAGUGGAUAAGGCAUGCAGGCUGCGAGGAUGGAACCACAUGCUCUGGCAAAAUGUGACUAGCAAAAAUAGGACAAUAUUAAGAUUCCUGGCCAGAGAGCAAAGGGAGUUCACAAGAUUCCUGCGAAAAAUACAGAUGACUCUGAAGAACCAUUACUGCAGCGUUGUCUAUCCUAGAACCCUAUACAUUUAAAGGACAAGUAUCAUGAAAAACAACGUAUCCUCUAUCCGAAGGAUAGGGGAUAAGUUUUAGAUCGCAUGGGGUCCGAGCUCUGGGGCUCUCCAUGAUCUCCUGUUUAGAGCCCCGGCUCUCCUAUAC